CAAUCAAAUCGUUUUUUUAAAAAACGGAUCUGAGUUUUCCAAGGUUUUAUUAUUUUGGUAACUUUAAAUUUAUCUUAACGAUAUCUUUGGUAUGAUAUUGGAAAUGGUUAUAUUCUUACAUCUUCUUGUGAGUUUCAUUAACAAUUGAUUACCUGUCGUUACGUCGUAUUAUUUGCCUGAUCCUUUUAAUUGGGUUACAUAAUACAAUUUUUCUU
rnacentral:misc_RNA from 1 species